rnacentral:rRNA from 1 species
UUCGCAAUGCCCGAAAGGGUGACGAAGCGACGCCGCGUGGAUGAAGAAGGCCUUCGGGUUGUAAAAUCCUGUCAGGAGUUAAGAAAUGUAGGUGCGAUAAUACCGUGCCUAUUUGACAAAGGCUCCAAAGGAAGCCCCGGCUAACUUUGUGCCAGCAGCCGCGGUAAUACAGAGGUGGCAAGCGUUGUUUGGAAUUAUUGGGCGUAAAGAGCACGUAGGUGGAUUUGUUAGUCAGAUGUGAAAGCCUUUCGUUCAACGGAAGAAUUGCAUCUGAAACUACAAACCUUGAGUAUAGGAGGGGAGAGUGGAACUUCUGGUGGAGCGGUGAAAUGCGUAGAUAUCAGAAGGAACGCCGGCGGCGAAAGCGACUCUCUGGCCUAUAACUGACACUGAGUGUGCGAAAGCUAGGGGAGCAAACGGGAUUAGAUACCCCGGUAGUCCUAGCCGUAAACGAUGGGCCCUAAGUAGAGGGGUUUU